rnacentral:tRNA from 1 species
GGGGAUAUAGCUCAGCGGCAUAAGCGCCUGCCUUGCAAGCAGGCAGUCGUGAGUUCGAUCCCCGGUACCGUUA